GGAAGUCUGACUUACAACUGGAGGCAGCAGCUCAUAGCUGAGGAUCCACAUUGAAGGCAACUACUGUCUGCUGUCAGUCAUUUACCGUCCAGCUCUUCCCAAACAUUAUUUGUGUUUCUCAAGGGACUUUUGACAUGAAGCUUUGCACACAAAUGGGAAGCACCUGGAUUCAAUUAUUUGUAGCUUUGAUUGUUCUUCAGAUGGCAGUUGUGUCGUCUGCAGAGGAGUCACCAUGUAAACCUGGUUUUGACUCAGAUUUGAUAUUCAAAGUGAACAGGAAGCAUCUGAAGAAAAGCACAAGACUGGGCAAAGUUGGAUUCACUGAUUGCACAGAUCGUACAAGGUUUCUCUUCAGCACAGAUGACAGUCACUUUGGGUUCAAUUCUGAUGGAGUAAUAACUGCAA